ACAAUUUAUAUAGAUUUAGGAUUUUGGCAGUCAGUCACGUACUCCCUCUCGUUGUUCCCUUGUGGGUUGGCAUCGGCGGCGGCGGCUCCUUCUGUGGCCAUGACGUCGCUGCGGUCCGCCGUGGCCACCUGUCUCCCGCCGAUCCGCGCGGCGAUCUCCCGGAUGAAGCAGGAUAUGGUGCGGCGGGAGCCGCCUCUACGGGCCCGACAACUUCCAGGCCCUGGAGACCAUGCCCACGCGGAUGGAGUCGUACGCCUACCUCCUUGGCUGCCUGCAGACGCCCGCCGUGUCCCCUCUCAGCAUCUUGCAGGCUUCCGAGGGGGAUGCCGAUCAGGCUGCAGAAGGAGCCGCUGCCACCUCCGAGAAAUAGAAGCUCGACGGUUGUCGUUAUGGUCCAGUUGUUCUUUAUUUAGGUCACCAGUAUAGUUUCUUUAAUUGGCCUAAUAAUUAUAGAAGUUAAUGGUCUGAUGUACCACGUGUGCCCUGUUUCAUGAACUCACUCAUGGAUCUACUAGAAACCUUGGUCAUGAAGUGGAAAAGUGGUAUUUCCACUUUUCCACUUCAUAUGAAUGUGACCACAAGUGAUGGUAAAUUUACAUUUCCGAAGUUUUGGCUAAUGUGCAAGAGUAGAAAGGAUCCAAAUGCAGAAUUCUCCUGCAACCUCUCUGAUGCAGCUUAGGGGAAGGAUGGUUAAAACCUGUUUUGUUCAGAAGUUGCAUCAGGGUUAAGCUCAUCAAUUAAUAAGGCAAAAAAAAGAGUUCAUCAAUGGAUAUACUGAUGAAACUUUGAGGUCAAGUUGAAUGUGGUUCCACUUUUUUGUUCUUUAUUUGUGAAAUAUGUUCAGCUGGGUGAUGAUUAUGCCGAAAAAUCUGACUAUGGCAAUACUUCAACAUCACUCGAAUUGAUGUAAUUAUGCAUGGUAUUCAGAAUGUGUUCAUCUACUUAUUA